rnacentral:rRNA from 1 species
GACGAACGCUGGCGGCGUGCUUAACACAUGCAAGUCGAACGCUGAAGCUCAGCUUUUGUUGGGUGGAUGAGUGGCGAACGGGUGAGUAACACGUGAGUAACCUGCCUCCUUCUUUGGGAUAACGCCCGGAAACGGGUGCUAAUACGGGAUAUUCACUGGUCUUCGCAUGGGGGUUGGUGGAAAGGGUUUUUCUGGUGGGGGAUGGGCUCGCGGCCUAUCAGCUUGUUGGUGGGGUGAUGGCCUACCAAGGCUUUGACGGGUAGCAGGCCUGAGAGGGUGACCGGUCACAUUGGGACUGCGAUACGGCCCAGACUCCUACGGGAGGCAGCAGUGGGGAAUAUUGCGCAAUGGGCGAAAGCCUGAUGCGGCGACGCCGCGUGAGGGAUGGAGGCCUUUGGGUUGUGAACCUCUUUCGCUCAUGGUCAAGCCGCAACAAUGGUUGUGGUGAGGGUAGUGGGUAAAGAAGCGCCGGCUAACUACGUG